UACGUAGGGUGCAAGCGUUAAUCGGAAUUACUGGGCGUAAAGCGUGCGCAGGCGGUCGCGUAAGCCAGAUGUGAAAACCCCGGGCUUAACCUGGGAACUGCAUUUGGUACUGCGUGGCUGGAGUGCGGCAGAGGAAGGUGGAAUUCCUGGUGUAGCAGUGAAAUGCGUAGAGAUCAGGAGGAACACCGAUGGCGAAGGCAGCCUUCUGGGCCAGCACUGACGCUCAUGCAAGAAAGCGUGGGGAGCAAACAGG
rnacentral:rRNA from 1 species